UCAAUGGUGGCUCAGGCAGGGCAGCCUCCGGGCUGGCCGGUGUCCUGUUAGGCCGGUAUUCCUACCCCUGUCCUGGGCCAUCACCA
rnacentral:antisense_RNA from 1 species